AACGCACCUUGCGCUCCUCGGCAUUCCGAGGAGCAUGCCUGUUUGAGCGUCGUUGAACUCUCAGAAUCCCUCCCGAUUUGUUGGGUUUACUUCCUUGAAAGAUCGGGGAGGGGAGGUAGUUGGUAACUGGCAUCAAGACUUGUUUUGGCUGAGAGCCAGUCCUUGGAUUGCAUGCUGGUGGGCUACUUCCUGUCAGUGGGAUGUGGAUUGUGGAGGAUGCACUGCUGGCAGGCCCCCAAUGGGUGGCCUCUUUGCUUCUCUGAAAUGGAUUUUGCAUUAAGGCUGCGGUCACGAACCUGGCGUCGAUAUGAUACACUCUUCUUACCUACGCCUAAUCCGUGCGAGCCGCGUCUAACGAUUUGACCUCAAAUCAGGCAGGACCACCCGCUGAACUUAA
rnacentral:misc_RNA from 3 species